rnacentral:misc_RNA from 1 species
GAAGGUUAUUAUGGAUUAUUAUAUUAUUAAUAUUGGAAUGGAUAACUACAUUAUUGAUAUUAGAAUCAUCAAUGAGAUUUAAUUCAAUGAUCUGAGUGAUCCUAUAGUUGUCUACAGAUUUAUAAAAUCUUGAAUUCCAAUCCUCAUUGAGCAAGAUAUAUCAACACAAAGUAUCUUUCUCCUAAUAAUAACUUGAUCACUUGCACGAAAGAAAACCAUUUGCCAAAUUUUUUAUUGGGCAUUCUAAAUUCAAUCACUUGCAAGACUCUCUCCUAAACCCCAACCUCUCAUUCCUCAAAUCAUACUCUACAUGAAAAUUCUGCAUCAGAAAAUUCCCCAAAAUUAUCCCUGGCCCUUUUGCUGCCUCUGCUCCCUCCACCACAUCGGUCACCACCGUCAAGCAUGCCACUUCCCUGUCCCCAACCAAGGCAAAGUAAUUCUCCACUGGUAGUAACACCUCAGUGCCACCCUUAAAAUGAAGCUUCAGUUCAGGAAACUCCACCUUCAUAACCCCAGAAACGUUAAAACAAGGCUUUAGCCCACUCAAAUCCUCAACCGUUUCAGCUCUCUCAUAAUUCUUCAUCUGUGAAAUGAAUUCAUUGCUUAGCGCCUCAUAGCCUUCAUGUGACAUGAACGUGAAUGUAGUCCCUGAGUCGAUGAUGGUCCCACCAUUGCCAUCGUUUCCAGGCGAGAGGUACUUGUACGGAAUCUUCACGCGGCGGCCGCCGACGAUUAUUCUACGGAGACCAACGUAGUAGUAAACUGAAAAUGCGGGCUUCUCUUCGACUUUCGGGUUUUUAAGUAGCGGUGUGUAUACUAAUGCGGUGGUUUUCUUAUCAGAAUCAAACUCGGAAUCAAGAACAAGAGAGCUGCUUUCGGCGGAAUCAUCGAAUUUAUGAGAAAGUAAGCAGUACGAGAAUUUACUGAGGCCAAUUUGGCUGGGUAAAGAUGAAGGGCCGCGGCCAAAACCGGCUAUUCCCGCUGGCUGGCGGGAAGAGAAAACGGAACAUCCAACCAAAAAGUUUGGCACUGUUAGGCCAUGAAGAUGGAGAGUCUCUGAGAGUGCAAUGCCUCCAGUGGUGCCUGAACCGUAGAGGAUAAGAUAAGGGGGGCAGAUCUGGGAGCAGUUUCGGGAAAUGGGGCUGUUUUCACAUUCUGGACACUGUAAAUCCGUUUGGUGAAUCCAAGAGCAUUUGGGGUUGUUGCAGCCAAUAAUUUUGGACGAUGAGGAACGUUUGGGGAUAAAAGGUGAGAUUCUUGAGGCGGAUGAGGCGAAAGAGCAGUUCUUGCAGUGAUAGUUGACGGUGCACGGGAACCAGACAAAGUCGCUGCCUGUGUCCAUGAUAAAAGGGAGAGUUUGAGGUGGAGUGCCAAAGCUAAGAGAAAUGGAGUAGGCUCCAUAGUGGUGCGAAAACACUGGAGUUGAAGUUGUAGUAGGGGCGGUUUGGGGGUUUUUGAGGUAGUGGGCUCUGGUUAGAGAGGCAGAGACUAGGUGGUUCAGCUUUUGGAAUGGAUCUUGAGAUGGGUUUUGCUUUGUGUAUGAAUGUGAUAAUGGAAUGGUAAUGGAAGAGACCAGGGGAAAUAUAAGGUAGAGAAAAGGCAGACAAUAGAGCAAAGAACAAGACACAGAAACCAUGGUGUUUCUUUUUGCCUAGCUAUUGGGUCUGAGAGAGAUCUAGAGAGAGAAGAAAGUAAUCUUUUAUUUAAUAGCUGAUGAUAAAGAGAUGAUGAAGUGAUGAAGGUUUAGGCGAUAAAUAUAGCCAUUCUGUUUGCUAUUAAGUUAUAACAGCGUCACAAUGGUGGCUGUGCAAUGCAUGGCAUUGAACACCCAAAAGAGCUUUGAAAAAAAAAAAA